AACGCACCUUGCGCCCCUUGGUAUUCCGAGGGGCACACCCGUUUGAGUGUCGUGAAUAUCUCAACCUUCUCGGUUUCUUCUGGAUGCCGAAGGAGGCUUGGACUUUGGAGGCCUCUGCUGGCAUCUUUUGAAGGCCAGCUCCUCUCAAAUGAAUUAGCGGGGUCCUCUUUGCCAACCCUCGACAUGUGAUAAGGUGUUUCCAUGUCUUGGUUUAUGGCUCUGUUGCUUUUGGGACCCGCUUCUAAUCGUCUCAAUGACAACGUUUGAGAGCGUCUCCCUUCUCGGGAAACCCUACUUUCGAACCCACGAACCCUUGACCUCAAAUCGGGUGAGACUACCCGCUGAACUUAA
rnacentral:misc_RNA from 2 species